UGAUUGUUCUUCGAUGGCUGCUUUUCC
rnacentral:sRNA from 1 species